rnacentral:rRNA from 1 species
UGCAAGUCGAACGAUGACUCUCUAGCUUGCUAGAGAAGAUUAGUGGCGGACGGGUGAGUAACAUUUAGGAAUCUGCCUAGUAGUGGGGGAUAGCUCGGGGAAACUCGAAUUAAUACCGCAUACGACCUACGGGUGAAAGGGGGCGCAAGCUCUUGCUAUUAGAUGAGCCUAAAUCAGAUUAGCUAGUUGGUGGGGUAAAGGCCCACCAAGGCGACGAUCUGUAACUGGUCUGAGAGGAUGAUCAGUCACACCGGAACUGAGACACGGUCCGGACUCCUACGGGAGGCAGCAGUGGGGAAUAUUGGACAAUGGGGGCAACCCUGAUCCAGCCAUGCCGCGUGUGUGAAGAAGGCCUUUUGGUUGUAAAGCACUUUAAGCAGGGAGGAGAGGCUAAUGGUUAAUACCCAUUAGAUUAGACGUUACCUGCAGAAUAAGCACCGGCUAACUCUGUGCCAGCAGCCGCGGUAAUACAGAGGGUGCGAGCGUUAAUCGGAAUUACUGGGCGUAAAGCGAGUGUAGGUGGCUCAUUAAGUCACAUGUGAAAUCCCCGGGCUUAACCUGGGAACUGCAUGUGAUACUGGUGGUGCUAGAAUAUGUGAGAGGGAAGUAGAAUUCCAGGUGUAGCGGUGAAAUGCGUAGAGAUCUGGAGGAAUACCGAUGGCGAAGGCAGCUUCCUGGCAUAAUAUUGACACUGAGAUUCGAAAGCGUGGGUAGCAAACAGGAUUAGAUACCCUGGUAGUCCACGCCGUAAACGAUGUCUACUAGCCGUUGGGGUCCUUGAGACUUUAGUGGCGCAGUUAACGCGAUAAGUAGACCGCCUGGGGAGUACGGCCGCAAGGUUAAAACUCAAAUGAAUUGACGGGGGCCCGCACAAGCGGUGGAGCAUGUGGUUUAAUUCGAUGCAACGCGAAGAACCUUACCUGGUCUU